rnacentral:lncRNA from 1 species
CUCCCUCACUGAAACUCGGAGUCCAUCUAGAUCAGAAGAUAUGAAGUCCCUAGAGUCCUGAUAUCUGCUCGGAUCAGCUCAAGUGAAGAAUGAAGCUGGCUGUGGAAUCUCUCUAUCUGUUGAGCUAAAUCAUCCAACUGAGGUGAAGAGGUGAUCGAUGUGCUCGCUCUUGCCGAUAAAGAAUCUAAAAUCAGUCUGAUCUCUCUCUCAAUAUCAAAAAUUCUACCACUAAAC